rnacentral:lncRNA from 1 species
UAUGUUUCACCUCCACCACCUGUGAAGUACGAGCAAGCACCCACCUAUGCUUCACCUCCACCACGAACGUACUACAAGCAAACACCCACCUAUGCUUCACCUCCACCACCUGUGAAGUACGAGCAAUCUUCCACCUAUGUUUCACCUCCACCACCAACGUACUACAAGUAAACACCCACGUAUGCUUCACCUCCACCACCUGUGAAGUACGAGCAAGCACCCACCUAUGCUUCACCUCCACCACCUGUGAAGCACGAGCAAUCUGCCACCUAUGCUUCACCUCCACCACCAACGUACUACAAGCAAACACCCAUCUAUGCAUCACCUCCAUACGAGCAGUCAGUCACCUAUGCUUCACCUCCACCACCGGCAACAUCUCCCCCACCAACCUACUACUAAUAUUCAACCCUUCCCCUCAAUUAUUUUCUACAUCUCCAUGACUUAUAACACCUUUUCAUCCUCCUUCCGAGUAUUUCCAUUUCCUUUCUGCCACAAUUUUAUGUAUGUUCCACAAAAUGAUCGGCU